AUUGAACGCUGGCGGCAGGCCUAACACAUGCAAGUCGAACGAGUGGCGGACGGGUGAGUAAUGUCUGGGAAACUGCCCGAUGGAGGGGGAUAAAUACUGGAAACGGUAGCUAAUAACGCAUACCAUCGGAUGUGCCCAGAUGGGAUUAGCUAGUAGGUGGGGUAACGGCUCACCUAGGCGACGAUCACUAGCUGGUCUGAGAGGAUGACCAUCCACACGGGAACUGAGACACGGUCCAGACUCCUACUGGAGGCAGCAGUGGGGAAGAUUGCACAAUGGGCGCAAGCCUGAUGCAGCCAUGCCGGGUGUAUGAAGAAGGCCUGAGGGUUGUAAAGUACUUUCAGCUGGGAGGCGUUACCCGCAGAAGAAGCACCGGCUAACUCCGUGCCAGCAGCCGCGGUAAUUC
rnacentral:rRNA from 1 species